GAAGUGAAGAGGAAAGGAAAGAACACAAACCCUAGGUGGGAAAACUGAAGAAAAAGUGUGGGAUUUCAAGGGAUUAAGCUGAUAAAGGUAAAAAUUUUGUGAUUUUAUCUUGUGAUUUACACUAACCAUGCUUUCUUUUUCAUUUUUCAUGCUUAGAACUCAAGUUUGCAUAAUGAACCCAUGCUGGCCAAAUUUGAGAUGAGAAGUUUUUAGCAUUGAUUUUGCUAGAUUUCAAGCUAAUUAAGUGUUUUUGGCUGUUUGGUAAUGGAAAGUAUAAAAAUCUAGCAAUGAAUCACUUUGUUCUUCACAAACCCACAAGAGGCCGAAUUUUCUAGGGAGGAUAUUGAGGCUGAAAUUAAUGAUAUUUCAUGAUAAAUUGGGGGUAUUUAAUGAUUGGUGAGGCUAGAAAUUUAAUGAAAAAUUUUAGCAUGAAAAUCUAAAUUUUUACCUAAUGUAUAGACAUGUGCGAUUUAUGGUUCGGACCGAUAAAUUGAAUCAUAUUCACAGUCAUUGAGGUAUUUUAAGUAUAAUUGGAGUGUAAAAAGUGAAAGAAAUCAAUUUGGAGUUAAAUUGAAGGUUUUAGCCAAUUACACCGAAAAUAGUACGAAUUAGGUCGAAUACCGUAUUUAAACGGCUAUUCAGACAUUUUGCAUCACAUUUCAUGCAUUCAUAUAGAUUUAUAGAGCCUGAAAUAGUUUACGAUAAAUUGACACAAUUUAUUAAAAUUCGUGUCACGGAUGAUGUAUAGGUGGUAAGCCCUCUAACAAGGGUAAAGAGAUUGUGCCCCGAAGACUGGGAAUAGGAGUAUAUCGAACUCCUAGUACAGUGAGUAACCUUACUAUCGUCUUAAUUAUCUAAAGUGAUUUUUAUCCAAUUUUGUGAUUUUAUGAAAAAUGAGUUAAAUGGUAAAUCCUUAUGUUUUGUAAUUAAAAUGUGAUUUAAUAAAAUGAUUUUGUAAAUUGUCUUGAAAUGAAAUGAUGGUUUGGAAAAUAGAGUAAUUGAAGACUGUUUUCAUAUGUUGUAAAUUCAUGGUUUAAAUUGAAUGACUUAUGACAAUAUUGGCAUGAAUGGCUAAAUUGGUAUUUGUGUUGAAAUGUAUAAAUUAUUGUUUGCCUUGAGAGGCUGUAAAAUAAAAUAAUUGUCAUGUUAUUGCAAAAUUUUAUUAUAUGGUGGGUUUAGCUAGCUGCAGUGGGCUGGUUCUAUGGACUAGCCUAUUAGAGGGGCACGAAACCUGGUCAUAUUCAUACCUCAAUAUGAGAGGCGCGGAUGGAUAACUCCUGAGGUUAACACUUUAAAGUUCGCUUCACGCCAAACCACCACGUGAGGGUGAACUCGACCAACGCCAAGGAACGGCUAUGUUUUCAAAAUAGAAACAUGAUUUUAUGCGUACAUAACUUUUUAACAGCCUUGGCGGACUCGAUUGGGAUAGCCCUCGGCUAAGGUAUCCCUGAUAACUAAGUAUGAGAAAGAUUUUUGGCACAAGCCAAGCUUUUCAGGAAAUCAUAAGCCUAGUUGUUUAUUUGGUUGAAAUGAGUUGAAAGGUAAUGAAAUUAUAGUAUGAUGACUUAUUUUAAUUGUCUCCAUUUACUCAACUUUAGAUGGUUUAGAUGGUAUCUGUUUACUCACUGGAAUUUUAUAAUCUCACCACCCUCCUUUU
rnacentral:lncRNA from 1 species